UACGUAGGGUGCAAGCGUUGCCCGGAUUUAUUGGGCGUAAAGGGCGCGUAGGCGGCUCUGCACGUUCGUUGUGAAAUCGCCCGGCUCAACUGGGCGGGGUCAGCGGAUACGGCAGAGCUUGAGCAAGCUAGGGGGCAAUGGAAUUCCCGGUGUAGUGGUGGAAUGCGUAGAUAUCAGGAGGAACACCGGUGGCGAAGGCGGGUCUCUGGGCCGAUAUCGACGCUGAGGAGCGAAAGCGUGGGGAGCGAACAGG
rnacentral:rRNA from 1 species